rnacentral:rRNA from 1 species
CCUGGUUGAUCCUGCCAGUAGUCAUAUGCUUGUCUCAAAGAGUAAGCCAUGCAUGUCUAAGUAUAAACAACUUGUACUGUGAAACUGCGAAUGGCUCAUUAAAUCAGUUAUAGUUUAUUUGAUGAUGACUUACUACUUGGAUAACCGUGGUAACAUAGAGCUAAUACAUGCGACAAGUCCCGACUUCACGGAAGGGAUGUAUUUAUUAGAUAAAAAACCAAUGCAGGCUCUCGGGUCUGGUUUGUGGUGAUUCAUAUAACUGUUCGGAGCGCAUGGUCUCGCACCGGCGCUAGAUCAUUCAAAUUUCUGCCCUAUCAACUUUCGAUGGGAGGAUAGAGGCCUACCAUGGUCGUAACGGGUAACGGAGAAUUAGGGUUCGAUUCCGGAGAGGGGGCCUGAGAAAUGGCCACCACUUCCAAGGAAGGCAGCAGGCGCGCAAAUUACCCAAUCCUAACUCAGGGAGGUAGUGACAAUAAAUAACAAUGCAGGUCACCAAAGUGUUCUGCAAUUGGAAUGAGAACAAUGUAAAUGCCUUAACGAGGAACAAUUGGAGGGCAAGUCUGGUGCCAGCAGCCGCGGUAAUUCCAGCUCCAAUAGCGUAUACUUAAGUUGUUGCAGUUAAAAAGCUCGUAGUUGGAUCUCGGGGCAGUGCUGAUCUGGUCCGCCUGGAUGGUGAGUACUGGUCGGCCUGUCCUUCCUUACUAGUAACUCGGCUCUGUCCUUAAGUGGGUGGGGUUUCAGCGGGGUUUCGGCUCUGUGGGGUUCUAGUUCAUUUACUUUGAAAAAAUCAGAGUGUUCAAAGCAGGCGUUUGCCGUGAAUACAUUAGCAUGGGAUAAUGGAAUAAGACCUUGUUCUUAUUUUGUUGGUUUCUAAGGACAUCGUAAUGAUUAAUAGGGACAGUUGGGGGCAUUAAUAUUUAAUUGUCAGAGGUGAAAUUCUUGGAUUUAUGAAAGAUUAACUUCUGCGAAAGCAUUUGUCAAGGAUGUUUUCAUUAAUCAAGAACGAAAGUUAGGGGGUCGAAGACGAUCAGAUACCGUCGUAGUCUUAACCAUAAACUAUGCCGACCAGGGAUUGGAUGACGUUACAUGGAUGACUCCACCAGCACCUUGCGAGAAAUCACAAGUUUUUGGGUUCCGGGGGGAGUAUGGUCGCAAGGCUGAAACUUAAAGGAAUUGACGGAAGGGCACCACCAGGAGUGGAGCCUGCGGCUUAAUUUGACCCAACACGGGAAAACUUACCAGGUCCAGACAUAGGAAGGAUUGACAGAUUGAGAGCUCUUUCUUGAUUCUAUGGUUGGUGGUGCAUGGCCGUUCUUAGUUGGUGGAGUGAUUUGUCUGGUUAAUUCCGUUAACGAACGAGACCUUAACCUGCUAAAUAGUUAUGGGAACGCUUC